AGACCAGAACAACCUAUUCCAAAAAGGACAGACUUCAUUUACCAACUACCAAAACCCCAAACAAAUACCUACAGUGAAAUUACCAAAAAACCUUCACAAAACCAAUUUGUACAAAGGAUAUACAACUACCUCAACCAGUUUAUACAAGUUGCCAAUUACCUAAAUAAAAAUUUACAAUCGCCAGACUUUAACCCAGAAAAAUUAAUUGGAUGGCAAACACAAAAAACCUACACAAAACCAAUUUGUACAAAGGAUAUACAACUACCUCAACCAGUUUAUACAAGUUGCCAAUUACCUAAAUAAAAAUAUACAAUCGCCAGACUUUAACCCAGAAAAAUUAAUUGGAUGGCAAACUAAACCUC
rnacentral:lncRNA from 1 species